UACGAAGGGGGCUAGCGUUGCUCGGAAUCACUGGGCGUAAAGCGCACGUAGGCGGCUUUUUAAGUCAGGGGUGAAAUCCUGGAGCUCAACUCCAGAACUGCCUUUGAUACUGAGAGCUUGAGUCCGGGAGAGGUGAGUGGAACUGCGAGUGUAGAGGUGAAAUUCGUAGAUAUUCGCAAGAACACCAGUGGCGAAGGCGGCUCACUGGCCCGGUACUGACGCUGAGGUGCGAAAGCGUGGGAGCAA
rnacentral:rRNA from 1 species